AUGCGCCUUAUGUUUCCAAAAGGUAAGACUUUCCCCUUCCUUUCUAGGUACGUGGGUGUUAGCCUGCCGGAUAUAACUCAAUCGAUGCGGUUCGUCCCCUUCCUCCAGCCCCCCUUCCAGCGCUUCUGGAUGACCCUUCGUACCCGUAUUCAGAAUUCUACCUCCGCGGAUCUCCCCUCCUUCUCCGAAAGCUUUACGAAUCAGACAGGGCAAUUCCUUACUUUAACUUCAUAA